AUUUUAUCCUUUUCGUAAUAUGUGCACUUUGGAAUGUCAAUUAGCAUUGUCCCUUGGUGCCUCUUGCAGUUGUGUCACUUUAAAAAGUACUGACUCCUCUGCACCAGGCACGAGGAAGACAUACCAGUUAUGUGCAACUUCUUACAAUAUUUUACCAUAUCAUUAGUGUCCUGAUACAGUUUAAUAUGCACCCACCAUGCC
rnacentral:lncRNA from 1 species